rnacentral:rRNA from 1 species
GGGGGGACGCAGUAGGAUAGGCGAAGCGUGCUGUUGGAGUGCACGUCCAAGCAGUAAGGCUGAGUGUUAGGCAAAUCCGGCACUCGUUAGGCUGAGCUGUGAUGGGGAGAGGAAAUUGUUUCCUCGAGUCGUUGAUUUCACACUGCCGAGAAAAGCCUCUAGAUAGAUAACAGGUGCCCGUACCGCAAACCGACACAGGUAGUCAAGAUGAGAAUUCUAAGGUGAGCGAGCGAACUCUCGUUAAGGAACUCGGCAAAAUGACCCCGUAACUUCGGGAGAAGGGGUGCUCUUUAGGGUUCACGCCCAGAAGAGCCGCAGUGAAUAGGCCCAAGCGACUGUUUAUCAAAAACACAGGUCUCUGCUAAACCGUAAGGUGAUGUAUAGGGGCUGACGCCUGCCCGGUGCUGGAAGGUUAAGAGGAGUGGUUAGCUUCUGCGAAGCCACGAAUCGAAGCCCCAGUAAACGGCGGCCGUAACUAUAACGGUCCUAAGGUAGCGAAAUUCCUUGUCGGGUAAGUUCCGACCCGCACGAAAGGCGUAACGAUUUGGGCACUGUCUCAACGAGAGACUCGGUGAAAUCAUAGUACCUGUGAAGAUGCAGGUUACCCGCGACAGGACGGAAAGACCCCGUGGAGCUUUACUGUAGCCUGAUAUUGAAAUUCGGCACAGCUUGUACAGGAUAGGUAGGAGCCAUUGAAACGUGAGCGCUAGCUUACGUGGAGGCGUUGGUGGGAUACUACCCUAGCUGUGUUGGCUUUCUAACCCGCACCACUUAUCGUGGUGGGAGACAGUGUCAGGCGGGCAGUUUGACUGGGGCGGUCGCCUCCUAAAAGGUAACGGAGGCGCUCAAAGGUUCCCUCAGAAUGGUUGGAAAUCAUUCACAGAGUGUAAAGGCAUAAGGGAGCUUGACUGCGAGACUUACAAGUCGAGCAGGGUCGAAAGACGGACUUAGUGAUCCGGUGGUUCCGCAUGGAAGGGCCAUCGCUCAACGGAUAAAAGCUACCCCGGGGAUAACAGGCUUAUCUCCCCCAAGAGUUCACAUCGACGGGGAGGUUUGGCACCUCGAUGUCGGCUCAUCGCAUCCUGGGGCUGUAGUCGGUCCCAAGGGUUGGGCUGUUCGCCCAUUAAAGCGGUACGCGAGCUGGGUUCAGAACGUCGUGAGACAGUUCGGUCCCUAUCCGUCGUGGGCGUAGGAAAUUUGAGAGGAGCUGUCCUUAGUACGAGAGGACCGGGAUGGACAUACCUCUGGUGUACCAGUUGUCGUGCCAACGGCAUAGCUGGGUAGCUAUGUAUGGACGGGAUAAGUGCUGAAAGCAUCUAAGCAUGAAGCCCCCCUCAAGAUGAGAUUUCCCAACUUCGGUUAUAAGAUCCCUCGAAGAUGACGAGGUUAAUAGGUUCGAGGUGGAAGCGUGGUGACACGUGGAGCUGACGAAUACUAAUCGAUCGAAGACUUAAUCAAUAUU